AUUGAACGCUGGCGGCAUGCUUUACACAUGCAAGUCGGACGAGUGGCGGACGGGUGAGUAACGCAUCGGAACGUGCCUGGUGGUGGGGGAUAACUGCUGGAAAGGGUAGCUAAUACCGCAUACUAUUGGAGGGGCCCAGGUGGGAUUAGCUGGUUGGCGGGGUAACGGCUCACCAAGGCGACGAUCAUUAGCGGGUCUGAGAGGAUGAUCAGCCACACUGGGACUGAGACACGGCCCAGACUCCUACGGGAGGCAGCAGUGGGGAAUUUUGGACAAUGGGCGCAAGCCUGAUCCAGCCAUGCCGCGUGUCUGAAGAAGGCCUUCGGGUUGUAAAGGACUUUUGUCAGGGAAGCGGUACCUGAAGAAUAAGCACCGGCUAACUACGUGCCAGCAGCCGCGGUAAUAC
rnacentral:rRNA from 1 species